GUGGAUUAGAUACCCUAGUAGUCCACGCCGUAAACGAUGGAUACUAGCUGUUCGGAGCAAUCUGAGUGGCUAAGCGAAAGUGAUAAGUAUCCCACCUGGGGAGUACGCACGCAAGUGUGAAACUCAAAGGAAUUGACGGGGGCCCGCACAAGCGGUGGAGCAUGUGGUUUAAUUCGAUGAUACGCGAGGAACCUUACCAAGGCUUAAAUGGGAAACGACAGGUUUGGAAACAGACUUUUCUUCGGACGUUUUUCAAGGUGCUGCACGGUCGUCGACAACU
rnacentral:rRNA from 1 species